UGCUACGGCCAUGUCACCCUGAACAAGCCCGAUCCUGUCUGAUCUCAGAAGCUAAGCAGGGUCGGGCCUGGUUAGUACUUGGAUGGGAGACCACUUAGGAAGAUAAGGUGCUAUAGGCG
rnacentral:rRNA from 1 species